UCUUAACCAGGUGCGUUCGCGGCCCUCGAGGGUUCUCUCUCGGGUGGUAGGGGUAACACCCUCACGCGUCGCAUUUCUGAAUCCUUUUUUUACGAGCACCUUUCGUUCUCCUUCGGUGGGGCAACCUGCCGCUGGAACUUAACAAAACCUUUUUUUGCAUCUAGCAUUACCUGUUCUGAUACAAACAAUCGUUACAACUUUCAACAAUGGAUCUCUUGGCUCUGGCAUCGAUGAAGAACGCAGCGAAAUGCGAUAAGUAGUGUGAAUUGCAGAAUUCAGUGAAUCAUCGAAUCUUUGAACGCACAUUGCGCCCCUUGGUAUUCCAUGGGGCAUGCCUGUUCGAGCGUCAUCUACACCCUCAAGCUCUGCUUGGUGUUGGGCGUCUGUCCCGCCUCUGUGCGUGGACUCGCCCCAAAUGCAUUGGCAGCGGUCCUUGCCUCCUCUCGCGCAGCACAAUUGCGUUUCUUGAGGUGUGCGGCUCGCAUCCACAAAGCAACCAUCGUCUUUGACCUCGGAUCAGGUAGGGAUACCCGCUGAACUUAAGCAUAUCAAUAAGCGGAGGAAAAGAAACCAACAGGGAUUGCCCUAGUAACGGCGAGUGAAGCGGCAACAGCUCAAAUUUGAAAUCUGGCUCUCUUUGGGGGUCCGAGUUGUAAUUUGCAGAGGAUGCUUUGGUAUUGUCGGCGGUCUAAGUUCCUUGGAACAGGACAUCACAGAGGGUGAGAAUCCCGUACGUGGUCGCCUGCCUUUACCGUGUAAAGCUCCUUCGACGAGUCGAGUUGUUUGGGAAUGCAGCUCUAAAUGGGAGGUAAAUUUCUUCUAAAGCUAAAUACCGGCCAGAGACCGAUAGCGCACAAGUAGAGUGAUCGAAAGAUGAAAAGUACUUUGGAAAGAGAGUCAAAAAGCACGUGAAAUUGUUGAAAGGGAAGCGCUUGCAGCCAGACUUGCCCGCAGUUGCUCACCUAGGCUUUUGCCUGGGGCAUUCUUCUGCGGGCAGGCCAGCAUCAGUUUGGGCGGUUGGAUAAAGGCCUCUGUCACGUAUCUCCCUUCGGGGUGACCUUAUAGGGGAGGCGUAAUGCAACCAGCCCGGACUGAGGUCCGC
rnacentral:rRNA from 1 species